GUGUGGAUAGCUCAGUUGGCUAGAGUAUAGGACUGAAAAUCCUCUUGUCGGUGGUUCAAGUCCACCUUCACACA
rnacentral:tRNA from 1 species